GUUAAGCGACUAAGCGUACACGGUGGAUGCCCUGGCAGUCAGAGGCGAUGAAGGACGUGCUAAUCUGCGAUAAGCGUCGGUAAGGUGAUAUGAACCGUUAUAACCGGCGAUUUCCGAAUGGGGAAACCCAGUGUGUUUCGACACACUAUCAUUAACUGAAUCCAUAGGUUAAUGAGGCGAACCGGGGGAACUGAAACAUCUAAGUACCCCGAGGAAAAGAAAUCAACCGAGAUUCCCCCAGUAGCGGCGAGCGAACGGGGAGGAGCCCAGAGCCUGAAUCAGUGUGUGUGUUAGUGGAAGCGUCUGGAAAGGCGCGCGAUACAGGGUGACAGCCCCGUACACAAAAAUGCACAUGCUGUGAGCUCGAUGAGUAGGGCGGGACACGUGGUAUCCUGUCUGAAUAUGGGGGGACCAUCCUCCAAGGCUAAAUACUCCUGACUGACCGAUAGUGAACCAGUACCGUGAGGGAAAGGCGAAAAGAACCCCGGCGAGGGGAGUGAAAAAGAACCUGAAACCGUGUACGUACAAGCAGUGGGAGCACGCUUAGGCGUGUGACUGCGUACCUUUUGUAUAAUGGGUCAGCGACUUAUAUUCUGUAGCAAGGUUAACCGAAUAGGGGAGCCGAAGGGAAACCGAGUCUUAACUGGGCGUUAAGUUGCAGGGUAUAGACCCGAAACCCGGUGAUCUAGCCAUGGGCAGGUUGAAGGUUGGGUAACACUAACUGGAGGACCGAACCGACUAAUGUUGAAAAAUUAGCGGAUGACUUGUGGCUGGGGGUGAAAGGCCAAUCAAACCGGGAGAUAGCUGGUUCUCCCCGAAAGCUAUUUAGGUAGCGCCUCGUGAAUUCAUCUCCGGGGGUAGAGCACUGUUUCGGCAAGGGGGUCAUCCCGACUUACCAACCCGAUGCAAACUGCGAAUACCGGAGAAUGUUAUCACGGGAGACACACGGCGGGUGCUAACGUCCGUCGUGAAGAGGGAAACAACCCAGACCGCCAGCUAAGGUCCCAAAGUCAUGGUUAAGUGGGAAACGAUGUGGGAAGGCCCAGACAGCCAGGAUGUUGGCUUAGAAGCAGCCAUCAUUUAAAGAAAGCGUAAUAGCUCACUGGUCGAGUCGGCCUGCGCGGAAGAUGUAACGGGGCUAAACCAUGCACCGAAGCUGCGGCAGCGACGCUUAUGCGUUGUUGGGUAGGGGAGCGUUCUGUAAGCCUGUGAAGGUGUGCUGUGAGGCAUGCUGGAGGUAUCAGAAGUGCGAAUGCUGACAUAAGUAACGAUAAAGCGGGUGAAAAGCCCGCUCGCCGGAAGACCAAGGGUUCCUGUCCAACGUUAAUCGGGGCAGGGUGAGUCGACCCCUAAGGCGAGGCCGAAAGGCGUAGUCGAUGGGAAACAGGUUAAUAUUCCUGUACUUGGUGUUACUGCGAAGGGGGGACGGAGAAGGCUAUGUUGGCCGGGCGACGGUUGUCCCGGUUUAAGCGUGUAGGCUGGUUUUCCAGGCAAAUCCGGAAAAUCAAGGCUGAGGCGUGAUGACGAGGCACUACGGUGCUGAAGCAACAAAUGCCCUGCUUCCAGGAAAAGCCUCUAAGCAUCAGGUAACAUCAAAUCGUACCCCAAACCGACACAGGUGGUCAGGUAGAGAAUACCAAGGCGCUUGAGAGAACUCGGGUGAAGGAACUAGGCAAAAUGGUGCCGUAACUUCGGGAGAAGGCACGCUGAUAUGUAGGUGAAGCGACUUGCUCGUGGAGCUGAAAUCAGUCGAAGAUACCAGCUGGCUGCAACUGUUUAUUAAAAACACAGCACUGUGCAAACACGAAAGUGGACGUAUACGGUGUGACGCCUGCCCGGUGCCGGAAGGUUAAUUGAUGGGGUCAGCGCAAGCGAAGCUCUUGAUCGAAGCCCCGGUAAACGGCGGCCGUAACUAUAACGGUCCUAAGGUAGCGAAAUUCCUUGUCGGGUAAGUUCCGACCUGCACGAAUGGCGUAAUGAUGGCCAGGCUGUCUCCACCCGAGACUCAGUGAAAUUGAACUCGCUGUGAAGAUGCAGUGUACCCGCGGCAAGACGGAAAGACCCCGUGAACCUUUACUAUAGCUUGACACUGAACAUUGAGCCUUGAUGUGUAGGAUAGGUGGGAGGCUUUGAAGUGUGGACGCCAGUCUGCAUGGAGCCGACCUUGAAAUACCACCCUUUAAUGUUUGAUGUUCUAACGUUGACCCGUAAUCCGGGUUGCGGACAGUGUCUGGUGGGUAGUUUGACUGGGGCGGUCUCCUCCUAAAGAGUAACGGAGGAGCACGAAGGUUGGCUAAUCCUGGUCGGACAUCAGGAGGUUAGUGCAAUGGCAUAAGCCAGCUUGACUGCGAGCGUGACGGCGCGAGCAGGUGCGAAAGCAGGUCAUAGUGAUCCGGUGGUUCUGAAUGGAAGGGCCAUCGCUCAACGGAUAAAAGGUACUCCGGGGAUAACAGGCUGAUACCGCCCAAGAGUUCAUAUCGACGGCGGUGUUUGGCACCUCGAUGUCGGCUCAUCACAUCCUGGGGCUGAAGUAGGUCCCAAGGGUAUGGCUGUUCGCCAUUUAAAGUGGUACGCGAGCUGGGUUUAGAACGUCGUGAGACAGUUCGGUCCCUAUCUGCCGUGGGCGCUGGAGAACUGAGGGGGGCUGCUCCUAGUACGAGAGGACCGGAGUGGACGCAUCACUGGUGUUCGGGUUGUCAUGCCAAUGGCACUGCCCGGUAGCUAAAUGCGGAAGAGAUAAGUGCUGAAAGCAUCUAAGCACGAAACUUGCCCCGAGAUGAGUUCUCCCUGACCCUUUAAGGG
rnacentral:rRNA from 1 species